CCUGGUUGAUCCUGCCAGUAGUCAUAUGCUUGUCUCAAAGAUUAAGCCAUGCAUGUCUAAGUUCAAGCGAAAAUAAAGUGAAACCGCGAAUGGCUCAUUACAUCAGUUAUGGUUCCUUAGAUUGUACUGACUACUUGGAUAACUGUGGUAAUUCUAGAGCUAAUACAUGCGCUGGGCUCCGACCUGUGAAGGAAGGGGCGCUUUUAUUAGAUCAAAGCCAAUCGGGGUUUCGGCUCCGUAUUUCUGGUGACUCUGAAUAACAUUGCUGAUCGUACGGCCUUGUGCCGACGACGAGUCUUUCAAGUGUCUGCCUUAUCAACUGUCGAUGGUAGGUUAUGCGCCUACCAUGGUUGUAACGGGUAACGGGGAAUCAGGGUUCGAUUCCGGAGAGGGAGCCUGAGAAACGGCUACCACAUCCAAGGAAGGCAGCAGGCGCGCAAAUUACCCACUCCCGGCACGGGGAGGUAGUGACGAAAAAUAACGAUACGGAACUCAUACGAGGCUCCGUAAUCGGAAUGAGUACACUUUAAAUCCUUUAACGAGGAUCUAUUGGAGGGCAAGUCUGGUGCCAGCAGCCGCGGUAAUUCCAGCUCCAAUAGCGUAUAUUAAAGUUGUUGCGGUUAAAAAGCUCGUAGUUGGAUCUCGGUUUCACUCAGGUGGUACACCUUGCGGUGUUCACUAUCUGGGUGGACGUUUCUGUUGGUUCGCUCUUGGUGCUCUUCAUCGGGUGCCAUUUGGUGGCCAGCACGUUUACUUUGAAAAAAUUGGAGUGCUCAAAGCAGGCGUUACAGCCUGAACAUUAGUGCAUGGAAUAAUGGAAUAGGAUCUCGAUUCUAUUUCGUUGGCUUUCGGAGUCGAGGUAAUGAUUAAUAGGGACAGACGGGGGCAUUCGUACUGCGACGUUAGAGGUGAAAUUCUUGGAUCGUCGCAAGACGAACUACUGCGAAAGCAUUUGCCAAGAAUGUUUUCAUUAAUCAAGAACGAAAGUUAGAGGUUCGAAGGCGAUCAGAUACCGCCCUAGUUCUAACCAUAAACGAUGCCAACCGGCGAUCCGUCGUCGUUAAUUGAAUGACUCGACGGGCAGCCUCCGGGAAACCAGAGUGUUUGGGUUCCGGGGGAAGUAUGGUUGCAAAGCUGAAACUUAAAGGAAUUGACGGAAGGGCACCACCAGGAGUGGAGCCUGCGGCUUAAUUUGACCCAACACGGGAAAUCUCACCAGGCCCGGACACCGGAAGGAUUGACAGAUUGAGAGCUCUUUCUUGAUUCGGUGGGUGGUGGUGCAUGGCCGUUCUUAGUUGGUGGAGCGAUUUGUCUGGUAAUUCGUG
rnacentral:rRNA from 1 species